AUGAGUGUAGCUCAGUGGUGGAGCGCUUGACUAAUGUCUAAGAGAUGCUGGGUUCCAUCCCUAGACACACACA
rnacentral:tRNA from 1 species